UUCAACUUCUCCACGAAGACGGUCAGGAACUGCGGUGGCAUCUGGAUCAUCAGGUUCAAUUUCUGUUUUGCGGUCAAGCAGGUCGAAGACUGAGCGCAUGGCUCGACCGCCCUUGAUAAAGUCAGGAGCUAAGGUUAAUGUUUCAGCUGCGCCAUUGGCAGAAACCAUAAGGACCAUGAAAACUCGAAUUGUCUUUGAGAAAUCUGAAAUCCCAUGCUUCACCAGCCAAGAUGCAUACCAAAGACCAAGAGCAUAUGAAGCAUAGAGUGAAAAUUGGGCUAUUCCAAAUCCAGUUCCAGCUAUCUGUCCCUUCCAAAAGC
rnacentral:misc_RNA from 1 species